AUACGGAGGGGGCAAGCGUUGUUCGGAAUUACUGGGCGUAAAGGGCGCGCAGGCUGUUUUGUUAGUCAGGCGUGAAAUCCCCGGGCUCAACCCGGGAACUGCGUUUGAUACUGCGAAACUAGAGUUCGGGAGAGGGUAGUGGAAUUCCCAGUGUAGAGGUGAAAUUCGUAGAUAUUGGGAAGAACACCAGUGGCGAAGGCGGCUACCUGGACCGAUACUGACGCUGAGGCGCGAAAGCGUGGGGAGCAAACAGGAUUAGAAACCCUAGUAGUCC
rnacentral:rRNA from 1 species